GUGUGUGUGUGUGUGAGGGAGUUGAGGGGCCAGAAGGGACUUCCUGGCCGUCCUGAGACACUGAGUCAGACUGGAUGUCUGAUCUCAGAGUCCUUGAGCCAUGAGGAGCCCUGGAACUUUGGGGGGAUUCUCUGCCCUCCUUUGCUAGAAGAACCAGAAGCAGGGUGCAGCUCCUUUCUUCAAAUGACUGUGUAUUGCUUACAGGAGAACUCAAGAGCAGUUUUCCAAAAUAAUCACCCUCGCUGCCGGGAGCCCAAGAACUGCAACUGCUGAAGCUCGUGUGCUCCAGGCUCUGCAACAAGAGAAGCCACCGAAAUGAGAAGCCUGCAGAUCGCAACUAGAGAGUAGCCCCUGCUCACAGAAACUGGAGGAAAGCUCACAUAACAACGAAGACCCAGAG
ensembl:lncRNA